CGCCAACGGCCGCGCGGGCUCACGGGUCCUUUCGGAGACAGAAUGCAGGGCCAGCCGAGACAGGGAGGCGGUGGUGGUGGUGCUAGAAGAAUCGCGCGAUAUUUGAACGACCGGGGACCUUUGACACAAAGGUGGGUUAAAAAUACCCAAAAACAGAACAAAAAAUCCCUCUCCCAAAAGCUCCUUGGUGCCGUCUCCCAGGUCUAGGUGUCACAAGCCACAACUGCUACAAUUCUCUGGACACAUGAAAUGACAAUGCAGCAGUUUAAGCAUGAGUUGUAGAUAUAGUCAAAGAGGUGAGAAGUAAUAUCCGACACUGCAGAUUCCUAGGUUGCCUCUCAUGGCCAUUGUAACCAAGUGACCAUUAAUAUUACUGCACCAAUGGAGUAGCAGGCAAGUAUCCAACUGCCAUUUUGCUUUGUUUACUGCAAUUACAUUUGAUACAGUCUGCCCUCGGAGCAGCUAUUUAGACCCCAUUGGGCAUCGCUGUGUAUGAAAACACAUGCAUGUCCCAGUCCAACGAGGGAGAUCUGUGUAUUGAGGAAAGCUUUCAUGUGCAUAGUGGAUGCACACACGCACCUGGAUCCCACAACCACAUUGCAUUGCUCACCAAGGCCCUGCUGAUGGGUGGAUGUGUCCUUUGAUGCAGCUGGCAUUGCACACCCCCACCCAGCCCCACCAGCUGUUAUGCACAAUUAAGAGCUGGAUCAAGGCCAGAAGCAAUUAACAAGUUCUCCUGCUGAAACUUCACUUGUGACUCUGUCCUCUCAGAACACAACACAACACUCCCUUCUUGGCCAAGAGAUGAAAGAAAAGAAUUAGGAACAUUCUUACGCUUUGGAGCAGAAUAAAAUAAAACCUGGGAACUUUGGGAAUAGCUUUUGGGGGAGGAAAUGUUUAUUUCUUCCUGCUGAACUUUACUCUGCCCAUAAUUAUAAAGAGCACUUAAAGGACAAGGAUUUGCAACCCCAGGUGGAAAAUGUCCAUUUUGAAAUGAACAGUUGGGUAAGUACAUAUGGUUCCCAAUGCAUUUUGAGGAAACUAGAAAUAGCACCACUUUCAUUUUGAUUACCCCAAAUGUUUAUGUAUAUGUAAUAUAGUCCACAUGCCAAAGUGAAUUUUAUUUGUAGCAGGAUGUGAUCCAUGUUUCUUUUGACCAUGGAGGAAAUAUUAUAUGUAAUUUUUUUCCUAAAUAAGUUAGGUUGGAUGCUGAAUCCCUAAGAAUAUAUAAAAAUGGAAAUGUUUAAUGCUUCUUCAUUAAAAACUGCUCUGGACUGGUGUUUAUAAAGAAGCAUUAAACAUGAAGAGGCCUUUGAAACAUGCAGGGACCCAUAUUUACUUGUGCAUCUGCCCAUUUUGUUUUCCAGAAAAAGCAGCUACCAUAACUUGCACAUGGAGUGUAUGGCAUUGAACUUGUAGCCCUUCUGUUCUUGAUCGAAUUCUAUCAGCAUCAGCCAGCAUGAACAAUGGUCAGGGAUAAUGGGAAUUGUAGUCCAAUGACAUCUGGAGGGCCACAGGUUCAUCACCCCUGGUGUAUGAUUUUGUCAGCAGAGUAGCUGUUACAGCACAGCAUCAUUAUAGUGAUAUAUAGAGGGGAUUUCACACUAAACCUAGUCCAGUUUAAUCAGCAUUCAACCGGGAUAUGCUCAUAUAAUUACAAAUUCUCUACCAUAACCUCCCCUUCAGUUUGGCUGUUCUCGCAAGGCAUGUUUUGUUUUAAAAGCCCACGUGCUCCUGUGUGGUUCACUGCAGACUGAGACUUCAUUGUGUUUCCUUUUCUCACCAAUUAUUUUAUUUUGGCACUUUUGAAAACCUCCACUUUGCAGUAUUAAUCCUUUUCAACAACAAACAAGUCAGUUGCUUCGUCAGGUCUCUGGGCAUUGAAUCAAAAUAGGAAAAGACAGUCUGUCAAGUGUGUUCUGUGCAUCGGUGAUUAGAAGCUAGCCACAGAAACACUUUCAAGCUAUGGAGAAGAAAUUAAUUAUCAAAGGCUGCAUAUGUACAUAGAGGAACUAUUAUAUGCUCAUUGCAACUACAUUGCAGUAGAUUUGUGCACUAUGAGUUGUGGACAUGUUCCCCUUGGGGGUAGAUUUCUGUCUUUCUCUAACUUUAAGAUUGCAGUCUAAAGUAAGAAAUGGGGAAGUUGGUGGGAGCAGUGAUCACAGAGAUAUGGGACAAGGAGAGGCUAUGAAUAUUUCCCUCUUAUUCAACCAACAAAGUUAACUUUUUAUUUCAUUAUUGAUAUGACUACUGUGUCUGAGAUUAGACAGGCACCCUCCUUGCUGAGCUUCAGGUACAUGACAAGUGCUUUCUUAUUUCAACAGGCAUUUUAAAGUAGUGUUGGGUUUAUUAUGAUUUUUUAAUUGUUAUUCUAUGCAUGGUUUAUUUUUAUUUUUUUGUAAUUUUACUUGCACUGCUUAGAAAUAUUAAUCAGUAUAUAAUAAAUACAAUAAACACACAUUCUAAAUUGGCAGAUAUGACAUAAUCCAUAGAAUCAUGUGUUCUAGGGUUUACUUCCAAGUAAGCAUGGAGAGUAUUGCAGCUGCCAACUUUGAGCAUAAGCACUCUUGAAGCAUCCUGACUGCAGCCUAAUUAUAUAUGUUGCACACAGUUGUAAUUUGAAUUUAUCACUCUGAGAGUAGACAGGUCUUAAGUAAAGUCUACAGCAGGCAUAGGCAAAUUCAGCCCUCCAGAUGUUUUGGGACUACAACUCCCAUCAUCCCUAGCUAAUAGGACCAGUGGUCAGGGAUGAUGGGAGUUGUGGUCCCAAAACAUCUGGAGGGCCGAGUUUGCCUAUGCCUGCUCUACAGGGUUCUAUGAUUCAAUGGUUAUCUUAACUUAAUAAGCAAUCCUCCAACAGUUAUUAAGCCUAGAAACUGAAUAUAGAUUUCAAACACUGAAUUUUCAUCUCAAGCAAUUUCUUUAAGAAGUCAAACAAUUUACAAACAUUUUUAUUAGUUACAUUUUUUUAUUUGUCUCAAUGGACUGUUCAUCUGUGAUUGAAGUGCCUUUUCUAUAGAUUUGACACCAAACACUAACUUUUCAUAUAAAUUUUAUUAAUUUAUAGGCCAGAAGAACUUUUU